CUUGUGGAUCCAAUGAGCCCAACUGUAUUCAUCUCUUGCAGAAAUCUCCAAAUGUCAAAAUGUUUUGAUACCAAAUCACAGCAUGACUUUUUCUAUGGUGUUCCUUAGGUCUUGGCGUCUUAAUGUGGGAUUUUGGAGGGGUUAUUGAUCAUUUUUUAUCAAUUAUUGUGUGGGAAAAAAUGGUUAAAUUUAGCACCAAAUCUGUGUAACAAAUGGUAUCAACCC